GAAGGGGGCUAGCGUUGCUCGGCAUCACUGGGCGUAAAGGGUGCGUAGGCGGGUCUUUAAGUCAGGGGUGAAAUCCUGGAGCUCAACUCCAGAACUGCCUUUGAUACUGAAGAUCUUGAGUCCGGGAGAGGUGAGUGGAACUGCGAGUGUAGAGGUGAAAUUCGUAGAUAUUCGCAAGAACACCAGUGGCGAAGGCGGCUCACUGGCCCGGUACUGACGCUGAGGCACGAAAGCGUGGGGAGCAAACAGGAUUAGAUACCCUGGUAGUCCACGCCGUAAACGGANNAAUGCCAGCCGUUAGUGGGUUUACUCACUAGUGGCGCAGCUAACGCUUUAAGCAUUCCGCCNGGGGAGUACGGUCGCAAGAUUA
rnacentral:rRNA from 1 species